GGGAAAGUUGGCGAUGCGCCAAAAUUGUGUAUUUGAUCUGAGUGAUGACUUACAAUGACCCCGGGCACACAUAUUUAUACCCUCGGGAUUUAACUAACCUAGCCGGACAAGGAUCUGUACUAACAACUAACUGUAUACACUCGGACUCUAAUUAGAUAUAAAAUCCUAAAAAAACUCUAAGAUAAAAGUUAACUAAUUUACACAGACUCUUGA
rnacentral:lncRNA from 1 species